UGGACAUAUUAUUUCAUGCUGCAUUAAACGGAUGUUUCACUAUCUGGUCUGAGGAUAUGAUGACUCUUAGCCCAAGCUGCACCAUUUUGUAAACCCCCGCCAUUUUGCAAACCCAGGUCAGAGUGGAAAAUUCCCCUAGGGCUCAGGCUGUGAGAAACAUCCUGCCAGGCAAGUCCUAAGCCCAACAGCCUGAUCUCAGGAAAUUCCUCACUUAGCAACAGCUAACCACCCUGCCCACCCCACUUCACAACAAGCCCAGAUCUCUCCCACCCGGACCUAAACUUACCCAGUCUGGAAGCGGGGGCGGGCUCUGGCGCUAGUUGGUGUACCCCUCCGCGGGUGUUUGUUCGGUAAACCUGUGUUGCUGUAGAGCCGCCUCCGUCCGUUUUUUCUCCCGUUCCCGCGCUAACAAUGACAUUAUACCAAAUGUAACUGCAUGCAUCUACAUCUUAAUUACAAUUAAGAAAUAUCUUCCUGGCCGCAUGCAGUGGCUCAUGCCUGUAAUCCCAGCACUUUGGGAGACCGAGGCGGGUGGGUCACGAGGUCAAGAGUUCAAGACCAGCCUGGCCAAGAUGGUGAAACCCUGUCUCUACUAAAAAAAAAAAAAAAGAAAGAAAUAUCUUUUAGCUGUUUACCUACUUCCUGGAAAAAGUAGUAGCUCUCUGUAGCAUUAUGGAGUUUCAGUGGAACCAAAUUUUUGCCAUUAAAAACUGGCAUUAAAUUGAAAUAUAUGUUAUAUGCCUCAGUCAUUUCAAAC
rnacentral:lncRNA from 1 species